GUGACAGCUCAUGGGAUGAAUGCGGUGCAGGCUGUGGUUGAAGGGCUGAUGAAGGGGUGACUGUGCCGGGACCCACCUGCCCUCCCCUCUAUCUCCCUGUGCCAUGCAGGUGUGGUCAAUGGGCUGAUGGGCACGACUGUGAGACCCCAUCAUUCCCCCAGCCCACAUGACUCUGCUCUCCCAGCUCGACUGUUCACUUCAGACUUCCCUUAUGGAAGGAGUUGCCAGAUAGAGCAAGCAAAAUAUAAUGUGCCAGGCUAAACAUGUAUCAUCUCCUCAUAGUUACUGAUGAAAUGAUGUUCUUUCUGGGAUGUUCUCAGAUUGAUGUGCUUCAAGUUGUGACACUGGACAGAAUAGGCUUUUUUGGGGAAAUGCAGCACAGGACUUGCGUUGACUCCAUUCAUGCUGAGUGCCUGGUGCAGGUUCCAGAUGAACUCUGGAGCUUUGCUGGGAACGAUGAGUGGCAGUCUCUGCUGGAGACUGGAAGCUGUGAAGCCACAGACACCUGCCCAGAAGCUGGGACAUGAGCUGGUGGUGCCUGAUCACAUUACCUACUUGACAAUUACAUUAAAUGAAUAUUUUUAAACAUUCAAAGAUGAAACGUU